UACGUAGGGGGCUAGCGUUGUCCGGAAUCAUUGGGCGUAAAGCGCGUGUAGGCGGUUUGGUAAGUCCGCUGUGAAAGCCGGGGGCUCAACCCUCGGAUGCCGGUGGAUACUGUCGGGCUUGAGUACGGAAGAGGCGAGUGGAAUUCCUGGUGUAGCGGUGAAAUGCGCAGAGAUCAGGAGGAACACCAAUUGCGAAGGCAGCUCGCUGGGACGUUACUGACGCUGAGACGCGAAAGCGUGGGGAGCAAACAGG
rnacentral:rRNA from 1 species